AUGAGAAGCGCAUAUGGUUGGGUAGUGAAAGCGGAAAUCGAUAAGCGCAAAUCACUGCUAUCAUCGAGUGGGCAAAUUGUGAUAGGAGAAAUGAUACGGAACGGCAGCAGUGCUGCGGAGCGAGAAACAGUCGCCAGACGGAUGCGAACUGAGCAGAGUUCCGGUAUGAGCACUCUGGGAAGCAAUGGAUGAUGGCGUUACAUGCACAACACUGCAUAAAACUUGCCAAAAGCCACCCAUUCCAUUGCGUUCCGACAAACAUCCGCACAUGUUUUUUGCAUUUUAGGCGUCUCAACUGAUUCAUUUCGAGAAAUUGCCUUUGGGAUUUAUAUAUUCUCCUUGGAUAUUUAUAUAAUCUUCAGAUAG